AUGCAUUGAUGUUUAUGAAGAGAAGUGAUGAAGACGCGUGUGUGUCAUGCAGAGAAGUAAGGCUUGGUGGCAGGUUUUGGUUUAGACACAAUUUGGAUUCAGAGGUUGGAAUGUGAUCGAUGAAUGACAAGAGUUUGUUAAUAUGGAUAACAAGAUUUAAUUGAAGUUUUGUCGCUAGUACGCCAAAUGAAUAGUUCAUGGAAUAAUUUAGAAGAUUCAGUGCAAUCGAGGCCCUUAAAGUCGAAGAUCUGAAGAUGUUGGAGUAGCGCCCUAGUAUUAGACUUCAAUGUCAGGAAGUUGUUGUGGAAAAAAUGGACAGAAUGGUUGAGAAUAAAAAAAAAAUAGACAUGCCUUAACAUUGGGGAACCGAUGUUGAGGCAUGGUGCGAAGAGCCUUUCCUGCCCAAAAAAUGCCUACUUGGGCCGCAACAUUCACUAAGUAAUGUCGCGGCCCACUACAUUAAAAAUGGCGAAGGAUUGUGGACUUGGAAGACACGGGCUGCAACAUUCACUGAGCAAUAUUGCUGCCUGCUAAGUGGAUUAGGCCCAAUAGAGUAUUUAAACCCUAAUUUUGAAGGAGAGAGGGGAGCUUUUGAUUGGGAUCACAAUUUUACUUGCAGGUUCGGGUACCCGCCCUUAAUGGGGUGGGGACAGGAGUCAAAUUUUGGGGGCAGGGGUGGGUAUAGGUUUAAAUGUUCAUACUCGAGUCGGGAUCGGGGCAGGGGCAGGAGAAUAGAUACCCGCCCCGAUAUGAUAUAUGUAUAUAUUUAAAUUUUAAAAUCAUAACUACUAUAAUUAAAAUAACUUCAUGCUUUAGGCUUUUUAUUGAUUACAUUAAUGAGAUAUUUCAGUUUUCAUGAAA